rnacentral:sRNA from 1 species
AAGACGGAUGCGAUGACGAUCGGCUGGU